CCAAGUUAGAUGAUCAGGUACC
rnacentral:miRNA from 1 species